UAGCGUAGGGGGCGAGCGUUGUCCGGAAUUAUUGGGCGUAAAGAGCGUGUAGGCGGUUCGGUAAGUCUGCCGUGAAAUCCUGGGGCUCAACCCCGGGCGUGCGGUGGAUACUGGCGGGCUCGAGGCCGGUAGGGGGAAGUGGAAUUCCCGGUGUAGUGGUGGAAUGCGUAGAUAUCGGGAGGAACACCAGUGGCGAAGGCGGCUCCUGGA
rnacentral:rRNA from 1 species